rnacentral:tRNA from 1 species
GCAGUGGUGGUUCAGUGGUAGAAUUCUCACCUUCUAUGCAGAAGACCUGGGUUUGAUUCCUGGCCAGUGUA